GCUGUAAUGUGUAUGAAUCCAAGCAAAUCGAUAGAUAAAGAGAAAGCCGAAAAUAACUGCUUCACUUGAACAUUGAUCAUAUCAGUGCUUCCCAUACCAGUGCAAGAGGCCAACUUGUCCCUUACAACGGUUUUUGGUGUUAGAUAAAUCUUAAUCUGGCAGGUCAGACUAGCAUGGAAUUUCAAAGGUGGACAAUAGGAUAAAAGGUCUCCCUCCAUUCUUCCCUGGCAAAUCUAUCUCUCUCUCAAAAGCGAGGUUUCUCUUCCUUUAUAAUGGCUUCUCUUACUAAUCUAGCCUAAAUAUGAGGUUUCUGUACGCGACAUACUACUUUUGUUUUGGUACAAUAUACUGAGUGGAUCUGCAAAAUUAAAAUAUGCCUCCUACAGGCAGUAUGAUACAGAUUGCUUUAUCAUCAUGGUAUCGCAUACAUAGUGCGAUUUAAUAGCUAAGUACGCACAGACCCACGCCUCCGAACAUUAUGAUGACAACUCCGGGAAUAUUCACGAGGACAAUAUCAAAGCACCAAGCAAAGCAACCGAAAGUUUUAAGAGAUUUGGAAUCGAUGGAAACGAAAUUUUUGACUGAGAAUGCACUCAAUAAUCAAGAACAAUCGUGCACCGAAAGGAACAAAUUCGAAUGCCCCUCCUAAACAAGUCAGAGUCUGAGACCAAGCUGGACGGACUUUGUUGGUGCAUUUCUUCGAACGCGUAGUGGGCAGCGCGUUGGAGAGCGAAUAUAGACUUCUUCAGAGCUCGAACUCACACCCAAACUCGAGAAAUCAGGGAGCAACGUUCGAACUUAAGAGAAACCGACUCAUUCGGGUCCGACGCGGUUGAGGACUAAGGAAGUCGAGCUUGCUUAGCUCUUUAAAAUCAAGCGGGACGCAGCUAAAAAAGAAGAAGAAGGAUCGAGCACUCAAUCGCAGGCCCCUACCUGGCUUGGCGACGACGUCCGGAAGCCGGUCUUAACACACAUCUAGCUAUGGCCGGGCGUCUUAGUGUCGCCAAGCCGGGAUCCUCGGGAAAACGACGGAUCGAAACCAAAAAUCAACUCACCAACGUCGGAGGACGGGGAAGAAGGGGGAAACCGCAAGCUCCGUUGCGCCGGUUUGCGUCGAGGACGGCUGGACGACGCUCAGCCGGGGCUAAAUUUCGGCCUCUCGCUCUCUCGGCGGCUCUCGCUCGAACUCCCUUUCAGAUCUCUCUCUCCGACACCCCCGCCCACGUCUUGCUUUCCUUCUCUCCCUUUUAAGCUCUCCAGCCGGCGCGCAUGGCUUCCUGCUACGCCAGCUCUUGCUGCCGGUCUGCCCCCGACCACCAACUCCGGCGCGACG
rnacentral:lncRNA from 1 species